UUUAACAUCUCAAAGUAAUGCUUCUUUUUGUUUUAUCUUGUAGAUAUUGCUAUAUGGAGAUUUGCCAAAAAACAAAGAAAAUAUAAUAUAUUUAGCAAAUCAUCAAUGCACAGUGGACUGGAUCGUGGCGGACAUCCUGGCCGUCCGGCAGGCGCCCUGGGCACGUGCGCUACGUGCUGAAGGACGGCCUGAAGUGGCUUCCCUUGUACGGCUGUUACUUCUCUCAGCACGGAGGCAUCUACGUCAAGAGGAGCGCGAGGUUCAGGGAGGAGGAGAUGCGCCAGAAGCUGCUGAGCUACGUGAGCGCCGGGACCCCGGUG